ensembl:lncRNA
CUCCCUUUCAGUGGAUUUUCAUGUAUAUAUGUCCAUAUGCACUACCUGUGCUGUGCAAGUGCUAUCAGCCAAGGAACCUGUGCUAACUUAGGUGCACGUGUAUAGCUGGUUUACAGGUAGGAAGAAUUUGGAGUGUUCUGUGUGAGUAUCCCUGCUGCUGAAAUGCAGUACUUCUGCUCAUGAGAUAAUGUUUCAGAUAUUGAUACUUGCUUUUAUAUUCAAAUUACAAAAGCACUUCAAAGAUCAGCCCUUUGCUGCAACAGCAGUACUGCUGUAACAGAGACAAUCUCUUCUUUGAAUGUGAAAAUCACCAUCAGACAACAACAACUCCACCACCUCUGUGUUCCAGGUUGCUAGUGUUAUGCCAUGCCAACCAACCUAUGCUAGGGAGAAACUAAAUGUAUGUAUUAUCCAAACAUCUUCAAGCAGAGAACCUGAAUUCAUUUAGGUCCACGUGGUGUGGACAAGGCUGCGGGGUACAAGUCUAGCCACACCACCUGAAAGAUGCUGUGUGUAAUUUAUCCUACUUGUUAAAAAGGAAAACAAUAAGUUACUAGAGGUGAAAUAGGGCCUUAAGAAGCAAGAGAUAAAGAUGUUGAUACAAGGUUCAGCACAGGAAGGCUGCAAUUUAAGAUCCAGCUCCCUAAACAUGAGGACGAUGCAAUGAUAACAGUAACAGAAGAAGGGGAAGGAGCUGUGGAUGAAGAAGGGCCAAAGAAAAAAUAAAGAGUUUUGUUUGUAAUAAAAUGUGGCAAUUACUUGAUGAAGCCUGAAGUUCUGCCAGGAAAACACAGAAAAAUCACACAAAUCAAUGGGAGCAGCUGAUAUUCUAAUAAAUCACUACUAAAGUACAUGGUGCCCCGUGAUUUGUUCCAUGUCGAGGGAGGAAUUCUGAAUGAUGGGUAUUUCCAUAGCCUUGAGGUUCCCAGGAGUCGAAAGAACAGACACUGACAUAACACAGUGAUCUGAGGCAAACUUACAGAACGUUAUCUUCACAAAAGCCACCACCAGGAUGAAAGAAGCCCAGGAAGUCCCACUCCUGGAGUAAAACAAAGAAUGGAAAACAAGCACAAAGCAUUUCAUUCCCCGUUCCUUUUCAGUAGGCAUGGAGAACCACCAUACAAAAGGGAAAACCAAAGCAGGAAAAGCCAG